GCGGACGUAGUGCACGGCGCACCACUGCCUUCUAUAUUGAAGCACGGAGGGUAUGCAAGCAGUGAACGGGGUUCGACUCCCCACGUCCGCC